UUGCAUUUGAAGCCCAUGAGGAUGAGAACCUCCGGGGGCGGGGAGGUUCGACUCGAGCGAAGCGAGAGAACGUUGCGCCAGCAACGGCCCGCAGGGCGAGCCACG
rnacentral:sRNA from 2 species